UCCUCCAUCUUGUAUCUGCAGCUUUGACUUCUCUGACUCCUCCAGUUAGGUCUUGUGGGCAUCCUGAUGCUGAUUUGAACCGUGGAUGUUUUCCGUCUCAUCACUGUGGAGGCGGUUAGUGGUGGAACUCCGUCCACUCGGCACUCGCAACGUUCUGGCCUCGUCUCACUGAUCUGGGUGCAGUGGAAAACACUCGAGCCAGAGGUUUUAUUGGAAUCUCGAUGGCGUGGCUCCAUUUCCUGAACGCUCCUGCGCAGACUCUUGAUCCAAAUGUGUGAGCUGGCAGUGCUUGUAGACAGUGGGAGGACACAUCUUUAUUUAUAGUCUAUAUUUUACACAUGUGCGAAUCCUCACAGCAGUUGGUUAAGGUGAGAGAAGACAAAACAAGACUCAUUACUAACCCAACCAUGACCUUUUACUAACAAGGUGUUGUUUCCUAAACCAAUAUCACACAUGUCCACCCACCAUACUCCUUCAUACUGAGGUACAGGAACAGAAAUAGAACCUUCCUGUAACCUUCAUUAAAAUUCCUUCAAACUUGUUGACCAAACAAGGUCAUAGUAUCCUCUUGAGCUGUGAGGCAACAGUGCUACCCACUGUACCACCAUGCCCCAUUGAUCUGCUGAUAUUUCCCUUGCUACCUCAUUGACGGUUCCAGGCAAAAGAACAAUGUUUGAAUUAACAGCAAAGAUCCCUGAGAAACCUCAUUAGCAUCCAUGCAAACGAUGCAGAAGCAAUGAGCUGUGAUAGCAUCUGUUUUCCUGGAUGUUGGCAUGUGUGCGUGUCUUGUUGUGGGUUUGCUGUGUGUUAAUCAGAGUGUUGACAAACCUACCAACUUAUGUUUGAAACCGUUGAAGACGAUAAGCUGUUGUAACACUAGUGAUGACCGCCACACUUUCUCCCCUAGCAGAGUCCAGACAUCAAUUAACUGGGGCUUUGCCAAAGUGCUGCUAACUUCUCAGAAGUUUGUUUACACAAGAAUAAAGCCCAGCAAUUGCAUUUGGCGUCUUUGCUCUGUUGCCUCAAUUCGCCGCAGCGUAAACUUACAGCAACUAAUCCUGCAAAGACGCAGCAAUGGCUGGAAAUGAUCACUUCAUCUGGAGCCAGUCUACAGGUGGAAAUAUUCACACAGCACUGAGACGGCUUCAAAAGGAGGAGGAGGAGGAAGAAGUAGAGGGUAUUUCUGCAAAACUGUAAAUGUUUGCAAGUGUUUCAGACAGAGGAGCAUGUCAUGUAGGGGAGAGCGGGUUAAUGUGAGACAUUUUUUUUUAAAUUUGCUCCCCUCUAGGCGACCUUAAAUUAUAUAUCAGUCAAAUUUACACAUUUCCCAUUGAUUCAGGAGUUUUUCUAGCAAUGCAAAUGAUCAGAAUGUCUUCAGGACAAAGGGCAGUGAAAAUAUGAUUGUUUUAAAAAAAGUGGUCUUGUGUCUCACUUUACCCCAGCUACGGGGUAAAGUGAAAACUUACUUUUUCCACUUUAAAACUACCAUAACAACAAAUGUUGUACUAGUUAAAAUCCUGACAGCUAGAUUGACAACCACACAUUCCAAAACUAAUAUCGGACUAGUAACAGAAUCAUGGGGAUUGUUUGGCCCCAGGUUGUCUUCCUGGUGUAUAGUUUCAUGGCAUGAUGGCUUUUCUACUAUGUUUAUGACAUUAAAAAUAAAACAUAUAUAAUGUAAUAUCACCUCGGCGAUAGCUCUGCAGACUCAUUACGAUUAACAUUAGACUUAAUAGCGCCUCUAAAAAAAAAAAAAAAAAAAAGAAAAA